rnacentral:rRNA from 1 species
CCUACGGGUGGCAGCAGUCGAGAAUCAUUCACAAUGGGGGAAACCCUGAUGGUGCGACGCCGCGUGGGGGAAUGAAGGUCUUCGGAUUGUAAACCCCUGUCAUGUGGGAGCAAAUUAAAAAGAUAGUACCACAAGAGGAAGAGACGGCUAACUCUGUGUCAGCAGCCGCGGUAAUACAGAGGUCUCAAGCGUUGUUCGGAAUCACUGGGCGUAAAGCGUGCGUAGGCUGUUUCGUAAGUCGUGUGUGAAAGGCGCGGGCUCAACCCGCGGACGGCACAUGAUACUGCGAGACUAGAGUGAUGGAGGGGGAACCGGAAUUCUAGGUGUAGCAGUGAAAUGCGUAGAUAUCGAGAGGAACACUAGUGGCGAAGGCGGGUUCCUGGACAUUAACUGACGCUGAGGCACGAAGGCCAGGGGAGCGAAAGGGAUUAGAGACCCCAGUAGUC